CGGACGGGUGAGUAAUGUCUGGGAAACUGCCUGAUGGAGGGGGGUAACUACUGGAAACGGUAGCUAAUACCACAUAACGUCGCAAGACCAAAGAGGGGGACCUUAGGGCCUCUUGCCAUCGGAUGUGCCCAGAUGGGAUUAGCUAGUAGGUGGGGUAACGGCUCACCUAGGCGACGAUCCCUAGCUGGUCUGAGAGGAUGACCAGCCACACUGGAACUGAGACACGGUCCAG
rnacentral:rRNA from 1 species